rnacentral:rRNA from 1 species
CAGUAGCCGCGGUAAUACAGAGGGUGCGAGCGUUAAUCGGAUUUACUGGGCGUAAAGCGUGCGUAGGCGGCUUCUUAAGUCGGAUGUGAAAUCCCUGAGCUUAACUUAGGAAUUGCAUUCGAUACUGGGAAGCUAGAGUAUGGGAGAGGAUGGUAGAAUUCCAGGUGUAGCGGUGAAAUGCGUAGAGAUCUGGAGGAAUACCGAUGGCGAAGGCAGCCAUCUGGCCUAAUACUGACGCUGAGGUACGAAAGCAUGGGGAGCAAACAGGAUUAGAGACCCCGUAGUCCCUGUCUCUUAUACC